ACUCCUACGGGAGUCAGCAGUGGGGAAUAUUGCACAAUGGGGGAAACCCUGAUGCAGCCAUGCCGCGUGUGUGAAGAAGGCCUUCGGUUGUAAAGCACUUUCAGUAGGGAGGAAGGUAGUGUAGUUAACACCUGCAUUAUUUGACGUUACCUACAGAAGAAGCACCGGCUAACUCCGUGCCAGCAGCCGCGGUAAUACGGAGGGUGCGAGCGUUAAUCGGAAUUACUGGGCGUAAAGCGCAUGCAGGCGGCCUGUUAAGUCAGAUGUGAAAGCCCGGGGCUUAACCUCGGAAUUGCAUUUGAAACUGGCAGGCUAGAGUCUUGUAGAGGGGUUAGAAUUUCAGGUGUAGCGGUGAAAUGCGUAGAGAUCUGAAGG
rnacentral:rRNA from 1 species